UACGUAGGGUGCAAGCGUUGUCCGGAAUUACUGGGCGUAAAGAGCUCGUAGGCGGUUUGUCGCGUCGAAUGUGAAAACCCGGGGCUCAACCCCGGGCCUGCAUUCGAUACGGGCAGACUAGAGUUCGGUAGGGGAGUCUGGAAUUCCUGGUGUAGCGGUGAAAUGCGCAGAUAUCAGGAGGAACACCGGUGGCGAAGGCGGGACUCUGGGCCGAUACUGACGCUGAGGAGCGAAAGCGUGGGGAGCAAACAGG
rnacentral:rRNA from 1 species